GUAAAGCCACUCUCUCAGUAGAGGAGUUACCUUCUAAUUUACCUACACAAGUGUUUUCCUCUCUGGUUCACCUGUUAGAGACGAUGAUGAUGAUGAUGAUGAGGAUGAUGAUGAUGAUGAUCACCUUCAACCUGAGCAUCUAAUCACAAUAACUGAACACACCUGAGUGAGUGUGAGCGGCUCUCAGGAGGCUCACUGUCUUAAUGCCAAUAAGGUGGAAACAGUAAUUCUUUAAAUGGAUUCCUACUGGUUGUAGUUUAGUUUAGUUGUAUAUUUUUAAAUAUCUGAAAUGAGACGUUAAGCUUCUGAAAACGUGACUCUACCGAGAUGACCUCACUCAACUGGAGCACACUACAGCUCUACCAGAUCUCUCUGCUGUCUGCAGCUCUACCAGAGGGUGGCAGUCCUGUUCAGGAAAAGAAAGAACGUCUCCCAACGACAACUUUCCAUGACACCAAGCUUUAUGUGGCAGAGGAAGUACGUCGGGUUAGAGCUAAUGGGCUGCAAUAAAGACUGGAUUUACACCAAUAACACUGGGUAUUAAACCAACCAACACCAGCAAACAGGACUCUCUUCAGGUCUCUGUGUUGUCUCCAGAAAAGCAUCAUAUUAGAUCCUCAGAUCUGAGCUGUGUUUCUCAUUGUUAUUCUACAGUUAAGUACCUUUUCUGAACCCUGAUCUACAGCGCUGCUAUCAUGGAUCAGGGCUCAUACUAACCGUGAUGGAUCGGCCAAUAUAUAGAUGUACGAUUAGGGAUGGGGCUCCAAAUCCUUUUGAAUCCCUGAUCGAAUGUGUGGAAUCAGACUGAAUCCAGUGUGCUGCAGAAUCUGCAGAAGUUAAAAUAAAAAC